rnacentral:rRNA from 1 species
UACGGGGGGGGCAAGCGUUGUUCGGAAUUACUGGGCGUAAAGGGCUCGUAGGCGGCCAACUAAGUCAGACGUGAAAUCCCUCGGCUUAACCGGGGAACUGCGUCUGAUACUGGAUGGCUUGAGUUUGGGAGAGGGAUGCGGAAUUCCAGGUGUAGCGGUGAAAUGCGUAGAUAUCAGGAGGAACACCUGUGGUGUAGACGGCUUUCUGGACCAUAGCUGGCGCUGAGACACGAAAGCGUGGGUAGCAAACAGG